rnacentral:rRNA from 1 species
UCCGUAGGUGAACCUGCGGAGGGAUCAUUACAGAGUUGAAAAACUCCCAACCCGUGCGGUCUUAACCUUUUUGUUGCUUCGGUGGUGGCCCUUUGGGGCGCCGCCGGAGGUUCCAAACCUGAAUUUUUAAUGUAUCUCUGAGCUUAACGGCAAAUAUAGUAACAACUUUCAACAACGGAUCUCUUGGUUCUGGCAUCGAUGAAGAACGCAGCGAAAUGCGAUAAGUAGUGUGAAUUGCAGAAUUCAGUGAAUCAUCGAAUCUUUGAACGCACAUUGCGCCCGCCGGCAUUCCGGCGGGCAUGCCUGUUCGAGCGUCAUUUCGACCCUCAAGCCUUAAUGGCUUGGUGUUGGGGCGCCCGCGCCAGCGCGCGCGGGGCCCUCAAGUCCAUCGGCGGGCUCGUCGGACACUGAGCGCAGUAAUUAUUCUUCGUUCGGCCUGUCCCGGCGGGUUUCCUGGCCGUUAAACACCUCAAAUUACCAAAGGUUGACCUCGGAUCAGGUAGGAAUACCCGCUGAACUUAA